CAACUUCUUUAGAUAAAAUGUGAAUGGAAAAAAUGUUUUCGAAGAGAAAGCGCAGAGUGGGCGAUACCAUGGAUCCAGAGAAUACACAUGGUCACUUAAAAAGCUCAUGGAAAAACAGAAUUAAAAGGAGAUACAGAAUCCAACUUGACUCUGAGGAGAAACCCACAGGAUGAAGAAGUCCACUGCCCAUUGCCCAGAAAGAAUCCUGGAGAAGCCAAGAGACCUGGCCCCGAAGGCCAUUAUGGAGUAGCUGGACCUGCUGUGACAACGGAAGAAGAAAAGUCUCCCUCCCCGAUGCAAGGAUUUUCUGCAGCACUGAAAGCAUUCCUAUGACACAUCAUCUCUUAGUACCACACAGCACUAAUCCUGUGGCUGAGACGGAAAGCAGUAGAAGAUGGCCCAAAUCCUUAGACCCCUGCACCCACGUGGGAGACCCGGAAGAAGCUCCUGGCUCCUGGCUUCAGAUCGGCACAGCUCUGGCCAUUGCGGCCAAUUGGAGAGUGAACCAGCAGAUGGACGACCUCUCUC